rfam:Capsicum annuum cultivar Zunla-1 chromosome 10, whole genome shotgun sequence
AUUUCGUGGUUUGGGCAUUGCAUGAUUUUAUCCUAGAACCUUUGUCAUACUUCAUAUAAAGGCUCGCCAAUAUAUUGAGGAAAAUUUGUAAUAUUGUCCCUUAAUUU